GGCUCGUUGGUCUAGGGGUAUGAUUCCUGCUUUGGGUGCAGGAGGUCCUGGGUUCAAAUCCCGGACGAGCCC